rnacentral:tRNA from 1 species
AAACAAGAUACAACAAGUGUUAUGGUUUCGGCCCAUAAAAAGGCAAAAUCUUGCCCUUGUUUU